AUCAAUUGGAGGGCAAGUCUGGUGCCAGCAGCCGCGGUAAUUCCAGCUCCAAUAGCGUAUAUUAAAAUUGUUGCAGUUAAAAAGCUCGUAGUUGAAUUUCUGCUGCAUUGCUUGUGUCCCUCUGGGGUCUGUGCAUGUGGCUUUUUUCGGACGGAGUUUCUUUGUCUGAAUGUUUACUUUGAGAAAAUUAGAGUGCUCAAAGCAGGCUUUCGCCUUGAAUAGUUUAGCAUGGAAUAAUAAAGUAGGACUUUGGUUCUAUUUUGUUGGUUUUAGGUACCAAAGUAAUGGUUAAUAGGAACAGUUGGGGGCAUUCGUAUUUAACUGUCAGAGGUGAAAUUCUUAGAUUUGUUAAAGACGAACUACUGCGAAAGCAUUUGCCAAGGAUGUUUUCAUUAAUCAAGAACGAAAGUUAGGGGAUCGAAGACGAUCAGAUACCGU
rnacentral:rRNA from 1 species